rnacentral:rRNA from 1 species
GAGUUUGAUCCUGGCUCAGGACCAACGCUGGCGGCGUGCGUAACACAUGCAAGUCGGACGCGCGGGGGCAACCCUGGCGCGUGGCGGACGGGUGAGGAACACGUGAGCAACCUGGCUUUUGGUGGGGGACAACUCUCAGAAAUGGGGGCUAAUCCCGCAUACGACUCGUCUCGGAGGGGGGACGAGGGAAAGCCUGUGGGCAACUACAGGCGCCGAGAGAGGGGCUUGCGGCCGAUUAGCUAGCUGGUGGGGUAACGGCUCACCAGGGCGACGAUCGGUAGCUGGUCUGAGAGGACGAGCAGCCACACUGGGAUUGAGAACGGCCCAGACUCCUACGGGGGGCAGCAGUGAGGAAUCUUCGGCAAUGGGGGCAACCCUGACCGAGCGACGCCGCGUGCGGGAAGACGGCCUUCGGGUUGUAAACCGCUUUUCUGUGGGACGAGAAGCAGGACGGUACCACAGGAAGAAGCCUCGGCUAACUACGUGCCAGCAGCCGCGGUAAUACGUAGGAGGCGAGCGUUGUCCGGAGUUACUGGGCGUAAAGGGUGCGCAGGCGGCGGUUCGCGUGGAUAGAUGAAAUCUCCUGGCUUACCUGGGAGGAUGGUAUCCAGACGGGAUCGCUUGAGGGUCGGAGAGGGGCGUGGAAUUCCGGGUGGAGCGAUGAAAUGCGUAGAGAUCCGGAGGAACACCGACGGCGUAGGCAGCGCCCUGGACGACACCUGACGCUGAGGCACGAAAGCUGGGGGAGCGAACAGGAUUAGAUACCCUGGUAGUCCCAGCCCUAAACGAUGUCCACCAGGUACCGGGGGGAUCGACCCCUUCGGCGCCGCAGCUAACGUGAUGAGUGGACCGCCUGGGGAGUACGGCCGCAAGGUUGAAACUCAAAGGAAUUGACGGGGGCCCGCACAAGCAGCGGAGCGUGUGGUUUAAUUCGACGCAACGCGAAGAACCUUACCUGGGUUAAAUCGUAGGUGUAAGGCCGAGAGAUCGGUCCCCCGGGCAACCGGCGCCUGCGAAGGUGCUGCAUGGCUGUCGUCAGCUCGUGCCGUGAGGUGUUGGGUUAAGUCCCGCAACGAGCGCAACCCCUGUCCUUAGUUGCCAACUCAUCGCAAGAUGGAGGGACUCUAAGGAGACUGCCGGCGUAAGCCGAGAGGAAGGUGGGGAUGACGUCAAGUCAUCAUGGCCUUUAUGCCCAGGGCGACACACGUGCUACAAUGGCCGGUACAGAGGGUUGCCAAACCGCAAGGUGGAGCCAAUCCCUUAAAGCCGGUCUCAGUUCGGAUUGGAGUCUGAAACCCGACUCCAUGAAGUUGGAAUCGCUAGUAAUCGCGCAUCAGCCAUGGCGCGGUGAAUACGUUCCCGGACCUUGCACACAC